UACGUAGGGUGCAAGCGUUGUCCGGAAUUAUUGGGCGUAAAGAGCUCGUAGGCGGUCUGUCGCGUCGGCUGUGAAAACCCGGGGCUCAACCCCGGGCCUGCAGUCGAUACGGGCAGACUAGAGUGCGGUAGGGGAGACUGGAAUUCCUGGUGUAGCGGUGAAAUGCGCAGAUAUCAGGAGGAAUACCGGUGGCGAAGGCGGCAUCCUGGACCGGCAUUGACGCUGAUGAGCGAAAGCUAGGGGAGCAAACGGG
rnacentral:rRNA from 1 species